rnacentral:siRNA from 1 species
AGACGAUCUACGAUGUCAGCGCCU